rnacentral:rRNA from 1 species
UGGGGAAUUUUGGACAAUGGGCGAAAGCCUGAUCCAGCAAUGCCGCGUGUGUGAAGAAGGCCUUCGGGUUGUAAAGCACUUUUGUCCGGAAAGAAAUCCUUGGCUCUAAUACAGUCGGGGGAUGACGGUACCGGAAGAAUAAGCACCGGCUAACUACGUGCCAGCAGCCGCGGUAAUACGUAGGGUGCAAGCGUUAAUCGGAAUUACUGGGCGUAAAGCGUGCGCAGGCGGUUUGCUAAGACCGAUGUGAAAUCCCCGGGCUCAACCUGGGAACUGCAUUGGUGACUGGCAGGCUAGAGUAUGGCAGAGGGGGGUAGAAUUCCACGUGUAGCAGUGAAAUGCGUAGAGAUGUGGAGGAAUACCGAUGGCGAAGGCAGCCCCCUGGGCCAAUACUGACGCUCAUGCACGAAAAGCGUGGGGAGCAAAACAGGAUUAGAUACCCUGGUAGUCCACGCCCUAAAACGAUGUCAACUAGUUGUUGGGGAUUCAUUUCCUUAGUAACGUAGCUAACGCGUGAAGUUGACCGCCUGGGGAGUACGGUCGCAAGAUUAAAAACUU